UCUCAUUAUCUAAUCAAGAUCCUCCCCCUCUUAAAAGGAAAAGGAAAGGCUUCAACUCUUCUCCGAAGGUUACACCAGUUUGGUUGGAAAGCCUGCUAGCUGAUUUCUUUAAACUCCUCCUUAUUUUUAGGUUUACACACUACUGGGCGAAUCCUUGACUGCUGAGACACCCGGGAAGUGCAUCUAAAAGCAGCAAAGACUCACUAUGUUUGAGCCUCAUAACUGGAGGAUAAGGCUACCAAAAAGCAUGCUGCAAAAACCUUUUUACAUUCGCUACCGGGAUUCCCUCAUCCUCACCAGCCUGGGAUUCGUGACUUUGGCUCUGGGAAUUGCUAUCACAAUCGGAGCUUUUAACAACGUGGUUGUCCUCCUUGGGAUGACGCUUGAUUUUCUGGGUGUCCUUCUUGGUAUUUUGGGG